ensembl:lncRNA
GUGAAGGGGAACGAAGAGGAGGGUGGGGUAGCAGUGAAGGGGAACGAAGAGGAGGGUGGGGUAGCAGUGAAGGGGAGCGAGGAGGAGGCUGGGGUAGCAGUGAAGGGGAGCGAGGAGGAGGCUGGGGUAGCAGUGAAGGGGAGCGAGGAGGAGGCUGGGGUAGCAGUGAAGGGGAGCGAGGAGGAGGAGGCUGGGGUAGCAGUGAAGGGGAACGAGGAGGAGGAGGCUGGGGUAGCAGUGAAGGGGAACGAUGAGGAGGCGGCUGGGGUAGCAGUGAAGGGGAACGAUGAGGAGGAGGCUGGGGUAGCAGUGAAGGGGAACGAAGAGGAGGAGGCUGGGGUAGCAGUGAAGGGGAACGAAGAGGAGGAGGCUGGGGUAGCAGUGAAGGAGACCGAUACUGUCACAGAGAUCAGUCCUGGUCAGGAUGAAGAGCGUCUGCGACGUCUGGCGGCCAGGAGAGAGAGUGUCCUGAAGUCUCUACAAGGACUUCUCACUAGAGGGAAGGGCCUGAGAAGACACAGCCUUAAACCUACACGGACACAGAAAAAUGGAGCUGAAGAGAAGAAGAGUAGAAAGACAGGCGGGCAGAAAAAGGACAGAAAAACAGCGAGUAAGACAGCAGGCGGCAAGGCAGCAGGCGGCAAGGCAACGGACAGGAAGACAACAGAUGAGAAGGUGGAAAGUACGAAAACGGAAGUAAAAAAAUUGGAAGGCAAAAAAACUGAAUGUAAGAAACCAGAACAAAAGAUAGAGAAGAAAGUGGAGAGCAAGAAAUCAGCGGAGGCUAAGAAGUCCGACUCGACCCGGGCGGAGGCUAAGAAGUCCGACUCGACCCGGGCGGAGGCUAAGAAGUCCGACUCGACCCGGGCGGAGGCUAAGAAGUCCGACUCGACCCGGGCGGAGGCUAAG